rnacentral:rRNA from 1 species
UACGUAGGGGGCAAGCGUUGUCCGGAUUCAUUGGGCGUAAAGAGCUCGUAGGCGGUUCAGCAAGUCGGGUGUGAAACCUCCAGGCUCAAUCUGGAGACGCCACCCGAUACUGCUGUGACUUGAGUCCGGUAGGGGACCACGGAAUUCCUGGUGUAGCGGUGAAAUGCGCAGAUAUCAGGAGGAACACCGGUGGCGAAGGCGGUGGUCUGGGCCGGAACUGACGCUGAGGAGCGAAAGCGUGGGGAGCGAACAGG